ACAAACUCAUCAGUGUUACAAACAUUUUCUCUCAAACUAGUACUUCUAACACAUUCAUAUAGUUUAUGAACUGCAUGGCCAACUUAAUUCAUAAACCUUGUGUUUCCCCCAUUGUUGUGAUGAUGGUCAUGUUAAUGGCUACAACUGCAACUUCUACAUCAAGAAAUCAUAGAGUAAUAAUGCCAAUAGAAACAACAAGAAAUGCAGUGCUAAUGACAGUUAAAACAAGUGGGAGUUAUCAUCAUCUUC
rnacentral:lncRNA from 1 species